GACGAACGCUGGCGGCGUGCUUAACACAUGCAAGUCGAACGGAGUGGCGAACGGGUGAGUAACACGUGGGUGACCUGCCCUGAACUUCGGGAUAAGCCUGGGAAACUGGGUCCAAUACCGGAGAGUGGGGGAUGGGCCCGCGGCCUAUCAGCUUGUUGGGGGGGUAAUGGCCUACCAAGGCGGAGACGGGUAGCCGGCCGGCGAGGGUGGACGGCCCCAUUGGGACUGAGACACGGCCCAGACUACUACGGGAGGCAGCAGAGGGGAAUAUUGCACAAUGGGCGGAAGCCUGAUGUAGCGACGCCGCGUGGGGGAUGACGGCCUUCGGGUUGUAAACUCCUUUCACCAUCGACGCGGUAGAUGGAGAAGAAGCACCGGCUAACUACGUGCCAGCAGCCGCGGUAAUAC
rnacentral:rRNA from 1 species